GACGAACGCUGGCGGCGUGCCUAAUACAUGCAAGUAGAACGCUGAAGGAGGAGCUUGCUUCUGUGGAUGAGUUGGGAGCGGGUGAGUAACGCGUAGGUAACCUGCCUGGUAGCGGGGGAUAACUAUUGGAAACGAUAGCUAAUACCGCAUAAGAGUAGAUGUUGCUUGACAUUUUUUUAAAAGCUGCAAUUGCAUCACUACCAGAUGGACCUGCGUUGUAUUAGCUAGUUGGUGGGGUAACGGCUCAUCAAGGCGACGAUACAUAGCCGACCUGAGAGGGGGAACGACCACACUGGGACUGGGACACGGCCCAGACCCCUACGGGAGGCAGCAAUAGGGAAACUUCGGCAAUGGGCGGAAGUCUGACCGAGCAACGCCGCGGAGGUGAAGAAAGUUUUCGGAUCGGAAAGCGCUGUUAUAAGAGAAGAACGGGUGUGAAAGUGGAAAGUUCACACUGUGACGGUAUCGUAACAGAAAGGGACGGCUAACUACGUG
rnacentral:rRNA from 1 species